AGUGGGGAAUAUUGCACAAUGGGGGAAACCCUGAUGCAGCGACGCCGCGUGCGGGAAGAAGGCCUUCGGGUUGUAAACCGCUUUCARCAGGGAAGAAGGAAUGAGGGUCAAUACCCCUCUGCCUUGACGGUACCUGYAGAAGAAGCACCGGCUAAUUUCGUGCCAGCAGCCGCGGUAAUACGAAAGGUGCAAGCGUUGUUCGGAUUUACUGGGCGUAAAGAGAUCGUAGGUGGYUUGUUAAGUCGGAUGUGAAAUCCCGGGGCUCAACCCCGGAACUGCAUUCGAUACUGGCAGRCUUGAGUUCGGGAGGGGUAAGCGGAAUUCCGUGUGUAGCAGUGAAAUGCGUAGAUAUACGGAGGAACACCUGAGGCGAAGGCGGCUUACUGGACCGAUACUGACACUGAGGAUCGAAAGCGUGGGUAGCAAACAGGAUUAGAUACCCUGGUAGUCCACGCCCUAAACGAUGUCWACUAGCCGUUGCGGGUAUCGACCCCUGCAGUGGCGCAGCUA
rnacentral:rRNA from 1 species